rnacentral:lncRNA from 1 species
CAACUGAGAAGGUUGAUAACAACUCAGAACCUCAAGCUGGACGAGUGAUGGUCCCGAUGGACCAAGAGAAUAGGGGUAAGGACCACAUGCAGCAACCUCCACAACCUGAUGUACCAAAGGCCACUAGUGAGGAAGGAGCAAAAAUUGACCCACCCAAAAAGUGGGCUAGCCUAUUUCAGAGGAAUCGCCUUGCUGCAAAUGGUAUGUCUCUGGAGUAUAUUCCCCCUACACUCAUUAAUGGUAAACCAGUN